CCAGAACACAGUAAGGAGACCAAGGCCUAGUCCCAGGACAUGUGCACGGGCUUUGGCAGAUAGAGUUACCACAGCAGUUGGAUUCCAGGAGGUCUUGUCCAGGUUGGAGAGCAGUUGCAAACAUAAGACUGCCUGAUUGAAGGGAGGAACCAUCUUAAGUGGGAGAGCCCAGUACAUGCCACAGCCCAGGAAGCACCGUUGAAGACAAGCACCAGACUGAGGACUCACAGUGGGGUCAAUGCAUUCUGAGACUGGAGCUGCAUUCUCAAGAGAGAAAACAAUUCAGAGUUGGCCCAGCCCUGCAGGCUCCUCCUUCACCUUCAGCAAGACUUGGAGACCAAGCAUU
rnacentral:lncRNA from 1 species